rfam:Camelus ferus unplaced genomic scaffold scaffold902, whole genome shotgun sequence.
GUAGGUAUAGCUCAGUGGUGGAACAUAUGCCUAGCAUGCACGAGGUCCUGGGUUCAAUCCCCAGUACCUCCA